rnacentral:tRNA from 1 species
GCGGGUGUAGCUCAAUUGGUUAGAGCGCCGGAUUGUGAUUCCGGAGGUUGCGGAUUCAAGUUCCGUCACUCGCC